AUUGAACGCUGGCGGCAGGCCUAACACAUGCAAGUCGAGCGAGCGGCGGACGGGUGAGUAAUGCCUGGGAAUUGCCCAGUCGGGGGGGCUACCAGUUGGAAACGACUGCUAAUACCGCAUACGAUUGGAUUGCCCAGGUGGGAUUAGCGAGUUGGUGAGGUAAUGGCUCACCAAGGCGACGAUCCCUAGCUGGUCUGAGAGGAUGAUCAGCCACACUGGAACUGAGAAACGGCCCAGACUCCUACGGGAGGCAGCAGUGGGGAAUAUUGCACAAUGGGGGAAACCCUGAUGCAGCCAUGCCGCGUGUGUGAAGAAGGCCUUAGGGUUGUAAAGUACUUUCAGCGAGGAGGCGUUACUCGCAGAAGAAGCACCGGCUAACUCCGUGCCAGCAGCCGCGGUAAUAC
rnacentral:rRNA from 1 species